rnacentral:rRNA from 1 species
GAUGAACGCUAGCGGGAGGCCUAACACAUGCAAGCCGAGCGGUAUUUGUCUUUCGGGACAGAGAGAGCGGCGUACGGGUGCGGAACACGUGUGCAACCUGCCUUUAUCUGGGGGAUAGCCUUUCGAAAGGCAGAUUAAUACCCCAUAAUAUAAUGAAUGGCAUCAUUUAUUAUUGAAAACUCCGGUGGAUAGAGAUGGGCACGCGCAAGAUUAGAUAGUUGGUGAGGUAACGGCUCACCAAGUCGAUGAUCUUUAGGGGGCCGGAGAGGGUGAUCCCCCACACUGGUACUGAGACACGGACCAGACUCCUACGGGAGGCAGCAGUGAGGAAUAUUGGACAAUGGGUUAGCGCCUGAUCCAGCCAUCCCGCGUGAAGGACGACGGCCCUAUGGGUUGUAAACUUCUUUUGUACAGGGAUAAACCUACUCUCGUGAGAGUAGCUGAAGGUACUGUACGAAUAAGCACCGGCUAACUCCGUGCCAGCAGCCGCCGCGGUAA